ACUCCUACGGGAGGCAGCAGUGGGAAUAUUGGACAAUGGGCGAAAGCCUGAUCCAGCCAUGCCGCGUGUGUGAAGAAGGCCCUCGGGUUGUAAAGCACUUUCAGUGAGGAAGAAGGCUUGUCGGUUAAUACCCGGCAAGAAGGACAUCACUCACAGAAGAAGCACCGGCUAACUCCGUGCCAGCAGCCGCGGUAAUACGGAGGGUGCAAGCGUUAAUCGGAAUUACUGGGCGUAAAGCGUGCGUAGGCGGCUUGAUAAGCCGGUUGUGAAAGCCCGCCGGCUCAACCUGGGAACGGGCAUCCGGAACUGUCAGGCUAGAGUGCAGGAGAGGAAGGUAGAAUU
rnacentral:rRNA from 1 species